rnacentral:lncRNA from 1 species
GGGGGGGGGGUAGCUUGCUGCAUGCAGUGCCCCCCACUUGCCCUCUCUCAGGACAGGAGGGCUGCAGCGGUGCUGGGGUGGUCCCAUGGUGUGGGGCCCCCCCGGCUCGCAGAGUUUGUGUUUGCCCCGUGCCAAAAUGUGACUUGAUCCCAAGAUGGUCAGCAAAUGGCCAGUGCUUGACAUUUUGUGGAAAAGAGAUGUUUAAAUGGAUAAUAAUCCCUCGGCUAUAAUUCCCAUUUUUGAAGUAAUUGAACAAAUUCUUCAUCUCUUGUUGACUGUACAUAUUUUUCUGGUGUUAAUAGGCUGGCAAAAAAUAUUGCUUGUCUAACUUAUUACAAACAAUAUUUGCUGAGCAAAUACUGCCUGCCUUGUCUGGGCUGAGCCGAGCAGAGCAGGAAAUCCAAUAUUUUCAGAGGGGCAUCGACAAACUGCAGCUUUGGCUUUUGGUUUUUUCUCUGUUUGUGCACCCAUUGGGGCACCUGGGGAGCCCUGGGAUGUGGAUCCUAAUGGCACCCCAUGCCUCUGCCCGCACCCUCUGACACACGUGAGGCAGAGCUUGGAGUGCUGCAGGUGUCCUGCUGCUGUGUGUUGAUGAAGGGUGUUGCACGGACUGCUGGAUGAUCCCAACGUUGUAGUGGGAUCUGUGCAGCUACGCUUCGGGAUCCCAUUCUGUGUGACACCUCUGUGCUGUCCUGUGUGGGAAACCUCAGUCCCAGUGCUGGAGGCAGAUCCUGGGGAGCCCACGCUCCCUUUGCCUCAGCACUGAGUGGAGCUGAGUGGUCUCCGAGCAGCACCAGGUGUGUGUGCGGUGCUGUGCUGGUGGUUGGCCUUCACGUUGUCAUUUGUGGGGUGUUGUCCUGGCAGGAAGGCCGGUACUCUGUCUAACGUAGCUGAUAACAAGUUAGGGAUCUGCUUGUGUCUAAAACAUGCCUCAAAACUGUAUUAUUAUUAUUAUUUUCAUGUGUGUGCUCUUAGCUAAAUCCGCAUCAGCAGAGAGGUCCAAUUAGAGCCCCCAGCCUUCACCGAGCUGUCAGUGCAGAAAGUAAUGUUCAUCUUCUUGCAGAAAUUUUCCCCCACGAUGAGCACAUUAUCAGGAAAUAGAAUUCAGAUGAGAGCAGUGCGGUCCCUCUAGGGCUGGAGGGAAAACUCAGUGCUUUUCCGAUGGGAUGCGCCCUGUUAUCGCAUUGACAGGGCCAGAACCUCGAUAAGGGGCUGGGAGGUGACCUUAAACUUUGGUCACCCCUACAGACAGCUGUCUGUGGGAGCCCUGUGUUGUUUUGUCCUUUAGUAAAAUGAUAUACAGAUCUUUUUGAGCGGUCCCCUCUGAAACGUUAUACGCUAGCAGCUGAAAUAAAUGGAUUCCUAUUAUUUCCCUGCAUGCAGGGGGGUGUGCGUGCUCCAGUGCCUCGGGGCAGCGGGUUCCUCCAGAGGAGUGUUUCCUGCAGGGACGGGGCCAGGAGGUGCUCCCAGUGCUCUGAUGUCCACGUGUGCUUCAUAAAUGGCAGUGGCACAAAAAAGGGGAAAGCGCUCGGUGUGCUGUGGAUUUCUCCUUGUCCAUGGGUGCUGCCCAGCAGGGCUGCAGGCAAAGGGGGGUUGUUGGGACACAACUGUUGGUUAGCAGUGUGUGCCCAUGUGGUUGGCUGGCACUGCAGAGUCACUGCAUGCUGUGGCACUGGGGCUGUGGUGUGCUUGGCUGCAACAGGUGGUUUUCUUCUGGUUUGGAGGUCAGCCUUUCAGUCUGUGUUCAUGCAUGUGCUUUUUGUUGGAGUACUUAAAAUCUGCUCUGAUGAGAUUUUGAAAAUAAGUGAGAAUUGGAACCCUCCAUGUCAGUGAAGAGGGAGAAAGGAUAUCAGUGAGUGUAUGGACCGAGGGCUGUACUGGACUACCAAAAUCUGCUUUGCUUAAUUUCUAAUCCUAAAUGGAGCCUUUGUUGUGUUUGUGAUAGCGUGUUGUGGUCCCUCCUUGUGUUCUUCCUCUAGGUGUGUUUGUCACUGGGCGGUAAGGUGACCUGUGCUAGCAGGGCUUUGGGUUUCCCCCUGGAAAUUAAAUCUGAGUACUUAGGCAGAAUUUUAUGACAGAAGCGUUGGGAAGGCGUAAGGGUUUUUUUGUUUGUUUUUAUCUCAAAAUGCUGUGAAUUCCCCUUGCCCACUUCAGAAAAUUCUCAGCAGUGGUGUUCCUGUAAGCACAGGGCUCUCUGUGGCUCCUGCACACUGACCUGGUGAUGGGGGCAGUUAGGAUGAGUGCUGUGUGGAGCCUCUUGUAGCUCUUUGGCAUUUGGCCGUAUCAUUUAACUGACAUGGCAGUUGUCAUCUGAAAAUAUUGCAUCUUGCUUCUGCGAUGCCCACCUGUGGUUUGACCUACGUCUCCCUGGCUCUACCCCCAUCAGGUAAAGACAGAUUUGACGUUUAUUUAUUUAUUUAAAGGAAAAAAAAAACAACCCAAGCCCACAGACAGAGCCCAGGAAGCAGAGACUUCUCUUUUCCCUUCCUUCCCCUGAACCUUCUCAGUUAAACGUGACUCCCUCUCAGGCUGUGCCCCACUGGUACGUGCAUGGGGUGCUCAUCUCCCUUGGGCACAGCGCUGGGGCUAAAAGCUGGGACAUUGGGUUUGCCCAGUGCUGGUCAUCACAGCGUGCUGCAGCCCAGGAGAUGGAUGGGGGAUUUUUGGGCACCUCCCGAAAUGAAUGGGACGGAGGGGAGCGUGUGUUCCUUGUUAUGUUCAGAUGAAGCUGCUCAUUAUUCGUGGAGGUGAUUGGUGAAUCAGAGUGAGAGAAGUGAAAUGAGUGAGUGGUGGCUGAGGGCUCUCUGAUCAUCGCUGUUCCUUUCAAGUACAAAAAACAGCCCUAAAAGGGAACUUCAUCAGCAUGUUAAUGAAUGCGAUCUUGGAGAGCAAUUGUUCUCCCAAAGUAGUCAUAAAGAUGAGGGGUUGUGUUUUCCUUUUGGCUUUUGUUUAUCAAUUUUACAAAUUCCAGCAAAGCUUUGGAACACUGCGUGGAAAUUUUAACUUUCUGGGUGUGUGUGUGUAUGUGUAAGAGUUGUGUGUAUUUCUUUUUUUUUUAAAGGAAUGUUUAACCUAUUUAUAGCAUCUCCUGGAGGACCCACGUGCAGGCAGGCAUUGGGCAGCAGCAGGUCCUUGGGUGGAGCAGGCAGACAUUGACCUUGUGCUCACCUUGAGGUGCUGGUCCCCUCUGGCCCCCGACCCCAGGGGUCGAGCAUAGUGACUGCCCCCCUCCCCCUGGUGACUGCUCUGCUGUUGGUGUCACGGGGUUCAGGGAACCCACACAAUGCCAGCAGGUUCUACACAGUGUCCUUGGAUUCUUCAGCUGCUGUUCUGAUAAGGCUGCUCUCCUGUGUGCUGGUGCUCUGAUCUCCCACUGAUAAGAAAAGCAGUGCAUGCAACUGCAACUUCAGAGGUGUGUGCUGGCUCUGCUGGCCUAGCUGUGCAGCUUCUCGUUCAUCAGAUCUCCCUGUGCAUUUUACAGUGUAGCUUCUCCUUGGCUAACCUGAAGUUAGAAACAAGCUCCUAGGCCUAAGUGUUUAUUUUCCUUCUACUUAAUUGCCAUGUGAUUUUGGUAUGAAGUCAGUGUUUCUGAUGGACUGUUGGUCCUGAAAGUAGUUUUUAAACUCCAGGCAAGGUGGUGACUGGGUAGGCAGUGUGCUGAAUGCCUCCUGGUUUUCCUGCAGGCUUGUUAGUCUGUAUGGAUCUGCUCUCCUCGCUGUUGGUUUUCGGUCUGAAGCAGGUACUCAUGGUGUGUUUUUGUUGCUAUCAAGGAGUGAGAGGUCCUGAGUACAGAGCUUGGGGGUUGGAAUGAGAUGAUUUUUGAGGUCCCUUCCAACUCAACCCAUUCUAUGGUUCUAAAACGGGGGCUCUGGGAUGCCAGUGUGCCUGCUUAGCCCUGAACAGAUACCCAGGUGCCUGCACUGUGCUACAGGGUGGUGCGGUGCUGGGGGGGGGAGGGUCUGGCUCUUGCUGGAGUGUUUUGCCUCACUGGUGAACCUUGCUGGGGAGGGUAGCGUGCAGGCUGGAUCAGCUGGUGGCAUUGUCACCUGGUGUGGGGCCGCUUGCACAAGAGCUGUGAGCUCAGCCCUGCUAAGGGCAGUGCCUGCUCGCCCAGGUCACUGGUGUGCCAUUAGCAGCAGCAGUGCCGUUGAGAAUAGCUGCGGUGUCGUGGGGAGGAAGUGGGGUGCUCACCCGAGGCCAGGCUGUGGGACACCCACAUCUUUCAAAGCUCAGCCUUUCUUCAGUGGGCUAAAACCUGGGGUGAAAGGUGGGAUGGAGCUUGUUGCAGUUUGAAGUGCACCUACAAAUGCAGAGAAGAUGAAAUAUUAUCCUUAAAUAAUAAUAAUCACAUUUAAAAACACAGGGUGUUAUGUAUUGCACAGGCAAGAUUUUUGGAUAAAAGAGCCCUAGUGUAGAUAGUGUUCCACUCAGUCCAAAUAGUAGAUGAUACCGGAUCCAAGGUAGUGUUUGCUUGUAGCAGUGCACUUGGCUGCUUGUCUAAUGGGAAGUGAGAACUUUGUUGUCCUCCCAGUAUGCCAAGGAUGUGCACUUCUUAUGUUUUAUCUCAGUUAUUUCCCAGAAUGGGACUGAGUAUUACAAUGUUUCUUUCUGGGAAAAUAACAGUGCAAGGGAGAUGGGAGGGAUGGGGUGAGCUGGGCACAGUGCUGUUUCUCUGAGGUUCCUGCUUGCUGGGCUGAUGGAUUGCUCUACUGUACCUCUUUAAAAAUGCAUUGAGUGAUGGAGAUGCAAUGCCUGGGCUGCAGAGCCACGCUCACACAGCAGUACCCACAGCGCUCGCACUGCUUCCUGCGACUGUGAGGUUUGGGGGUGGUGUUUUCAUUCUGAUAUCUUCCUCCUCUCUUGUUUCCUGGCUGUGCGGUGCUGAGCUGUCUGGCACUGCAGGCUGCUUCCCUCCACCUGUCCGGAUCCUAAAUGGGUGGAGCUGGAAUCAAACAGCAUCUCCAAAGCAGCCUGUCCUGCCCCAUGCAGUAAUUUCUUCUUUUUUUUUUUUCUUUUAAAAUAAAAGUUUUGAAAUACAGUGUAGAGGACUUGCACCUCAGUAUCAGUUGUAUGUGAACAUCCUGCUGUAAGUGAGAACAAUUUCCAAUUCACUGCACUUUAAUGCCUCCAGUUUAUCACCGUAAAGGUAUAAAAGAGUUUUAUGUAGGUGAAGUGGCUCUUGCCAUUUAAAUAUCUCCUGGCUUUGCUGUGUUCCAGCACCACAGGAGCUUUGCUCCAGUCACGUUCCUUGCAAGGUCUGAACGCAAUUUUAUGAGCUCUGUUCCGUCUCUUUGAAAACUGGCCUCCUCCAAAGCUAAUGAAAUUUUAAGAACACUGUUGAGAUGCUGAAAGGAGAGCCAGUCUUCGUGUUGUUGACCCCAUAGGUGUGAAACAGAGGAGAGGGGUGAGCACUUUGGAGCCACCAGGGAUAGGGAGUGCCCUGCCCUGAGGACAGCCUGCCUCCGUCUGUAACUUUGCUGUUCUGGAUCUGAAGCUCAGAAAUAUCAGGUGAAAGCAGGCAUUGAGGCGGCUCUGUGUGUAGCACUUGGUGCUCCAGGAUGAACAGAGAGCAUUUCCUUUGUAGCACCGUCUUGCUUCAAGCCAAAAAGAGACUAAACUUGAACAAAAGUUGCAUCUGCAAGGUCAGUGGUUGGCAUGGAUAAGGGGAUUGAAGGGAUCAAAAUGAUUUCCCUGCGCUGCUGGCUGCAAAACAUGAGCUUAUGGCACCGUUCCUCUUUCUCCCUUUGUGCUCAGAGCAAAGCUUUUUUUAAUCUUGUGCUGCCUAUGUAUAGCUGUGCCACAUGGAUGUGGCAAUUGGAAGUGAAAUGCUCUAUUGCAGGGGCUUUUGGACUCUGUCAUUGGGCCUGAGGAAGUGCUGACGGAGCAGGAUGGUGUUGGGGCUCUCUUCUGAGUGUGCUGCAAGAAGUACACUUUUGUGAAUGUCUCUAUGCUGCACUUUUGGCUGCCAUCUAAAUGCAGUGCUUGUAGUGUUUGCUGUUGAGUAUCAUUGCGUUAUUUUCCCUUCCAACAGAUGUUCCUUCUAGGUCUGUAACACCUGUAGUUGUUUGCUGUUUUCUUCUGUGUUUCACAUUUAAAUGUAGAUUGAUUUGCUCUGCAGCCAGAUCCCUGGUCUGGGCUCUGCUUGAGGAUGUGCUUGGACUGGAGGAAGCAUACAGCUCAGGACUGGGGCUGCUGGCUGGGGCACACUGCUGGACACCCAGGUCACAUCCUGACCCCCUCCUGUUGGGCAGUGAGACUGGUUUGCUCACUGGUAACUCUUCUAUCUAUGGAAGAGCUAAAAAAUAAAACAAAAAAAAAUUAGGGCAAGAAGUGUCUUGUUAAACCUUGCAGCGGUGCCAAGUGCAUCAGCUAAUAAAUAUACUAUUGCUGUUGAUGUUUUUGGGCUCAUAAAUGUCUCUCGUGCUGCUGUCUGAGGACGUGCAGCCUCUUUAUCCCCUCCCGCCCGGUACAUGCUGCACACAGGGGGAGCAGGAAUCAGGGUUCUGUGCAGCUAGGAGAUGUUUAUGGAAUCAGCCAAACUUUAUAUAAAAUUAUUAUGGUGUUUUGACAGCUUGUUAAUAACUUGCAACCAAUGGAAGAAAUGGAAUUACAGCAUUCUUGGUCUUUGGAACCUUGGCAUUUCUUUCAGAUUGUAAAAUUAAAGAAAAAAUAUGAAAGCCAUUAAAAUAGUUGGACGUAGUGCCUGGGAAAAAUGAUGGGCCGCUUAAUUGAAAAAAUGCUUCGUUCUAGUUGGAGUUCAUUGCAGUUUGUUUCUGUCUGGCUGCCUGGGUCCGCUGCGGAGAGGGAAGAGACCCCAAAACCCACCUGAGAGUGGGGGGUGUCGCUCGGUUCUUCGUCUCGUCUGAAUGGAGUGGAAGGAAAUUGGAGCGAGCAUUAGACACGGGAGAAGUCUUGUCACCUGUAAUGACUAAAAUCCCCUGAAGUGUUGCCAGCAUGUACUUUAGGAAUCAUAUAAUUAUAUGAUUAUUGAAAGAGACAUAAAAGACCUCAUGGCAAAAACCUUAGAAAGGGGGAGGGAGGGAAUCCAUAUGCAAAUGAAGAUGCACAGAAUUUGCUGUCGCUUUUUUUUUCUGCUUAUUUUUCAGCGCAAAGCUCAGUAAUUGCUUUUAUGGGGAUUACUUAAUAAAACUGGGGCAUGGAAAGGAGGGAGAUGUUUAUGCUGUGUCACAGGACUGGCUUGCAUUCCUAUGGAGUCAGAGUAUAAAUGAAUGUUAAAAGUAAAACUACAGACUGGGUUUUCUGCUAACAGAAAAUAGCUAUUUGUUGUAACGUUAUCCUACAAUAAAAGUGUUCUGUGGUCUGGUGGUUAGCAGAGGGGACCAGAAGGCGAGAUAAUGGGGUUUUCUUUCUGACUCUGCCACGGGCUUCCUGCCGGAGUUUGGGUAGGUCCCAUCCCUGUGGUGCUCAGAGCUGUGGGUUUGCUGUCCCCUGCCCUGAGCAGCCCUUGGCUCACCUUUAGCCCUUGGCACAUGGAAACUCAGUGUUAGAUUUUCCUGAGCUUCAGUUACCCCUGAAGCACAGGUCUGGAGCCGAGGAGCCAAAGCCCUCCCAGCCUUCAGCUUUUCCUCACUGGUACCCUAGAUUUAUAGCCUUGCUGCUCAUAGAAGCACUAAUUCAUGUGGUUACAAGGGAACUCUCCUGAUGCAGAACAGACUCAUAUCUCAAGAGAGGUUUUCUUGCAAGAUAGGCAAAAAUCUCCUUUGUUUUUCUUCUCAGAAUUACUAAAGCAUUUGGUGCAUUAAAUAGGGGAAAAAAAUCAUGCUGCUAUUAGUGUUGCAUUACUGAAUGUUUUGCAAGAUUCUCUACAGGAAAAAGAGUAGCAUUUGCUCUGGGAAUCUAGUCUGAAGCUAAAUAGCACCAAGUUGUGAUGUAAGUUUGCUAAUGUGAUUUUUAGCUGAAAAUGACAAUGGUUUUCCAACCAGAUGGAUUCUAUAGGGUGCCUGCUAUCAGCUCAUCCAUCACGCUCCACAGAUGUCUGUACAUUCAUUAUAAUGGGUGUGUGGUAAUGCUGCUGAUUACAUCGAACGAGCUGAUAAACCCACUCCAGCCUGAUUACCACUGCCCUGGUGGGUGCUGGCCCUGAGGGCACAGAGCGAGGCCCGGAGGUCCUUGUCACUGGGCCCGUUUGUGGGAAAGGUGAUCUUUUCAGCAGCUGCUGGAGAUGAGGUUUUCUAGAGCCUUAUGUUAGCACCAGACCUUCAGUUCUAAGAAACAAGCUUGUGUUUUGGCACUUACAGAAUGUGCCAUUUCCAAAGCAGGGGUUGCGAUCUGGUGCAACGAGGGCCUAUGUGUAAAGUACGUUCCCAGAUCAUGAGCUCAGAUAAACAACUAUGGGUAGUUUGUUUUCAUAAAUGCUUCCCAGGAAUUAUUUCUGAAGUUGCGGGGGGAGGGAAAGCAGCUGUUUUCAGAGUGUACAUCUUCGGGUUCUUAGCCUCACCCACACGGUGCCCUGAGGAGCACAGUGAUGGUGCUGGGGCGGCUGAGCGUGGAUUCCCACCUGGGAGGGGGGGCUGGAGGCUGGCACCUCUGUGUGCAGGGCUGCAGGUGCCGGGCUCUAUGCUGCAGCCCUCCGGCUGCCUCCCUGGUGCUGUGGGCUCUAAGAGCUUCAUCAGAGUUGUUUGUUUUGAGCACUGGAACGCGUUGUGUUGCUCCGGUGUCAGGGCUAGCGAGCGAGCAGCUUCUCCUGGAAGGCAUCUUGCAAGCAAAUGCACCUUUCCAGCAUUGUUUUUUUUAUUCACGCUUUGAUUUUUAUGUAAUUCUGAUUUUCUGCUCGUUACAGCAAGUGAAUUUUCACUGUUUCAGUGCAUUUGCCUGGGAAAAAAGGAACGAGUGCUGAGAUGGAGGAAUAGAUUUUUGUCUCAAGCGAUACAUGAAUUCUUUUUGUUCUUUUACAUCUCCCUCCCUCUGUGCAUGUGUAUGUUAAAAUUCCCGUUCCCUGUUUAUAAAUGUUUAGCAGCUGAAGUCACUGGUGUUUUUCAAAGUAGUACCUUUGCGAGGUUGAGAACAUAAGCAAAAUGUGAUUCUUCACUCGGUCUCAGCUGAAUACUGUAGGAAUAAUGAGUCUGUGCCUACAGCACAAACCGAGACACAAAAAGCAUGCCAAUAAGAAUACAAGCCUGGGGGAAGAGAUAGCGUGGUGUGUUUUAGCAACUGUACUGGAGCAUUCCUGCCUGUUUUUGGGGGCUGGGAAGGGUCAGCCGUGGUGUGAGGCUGCUCUGCUGAUGGCAGCCCGGCUGGCACUGCCUCUGGGCUGGGCAUGCAGCUGGCAACGUCUUCCUGGUGAUGGAGGCAUGUCGAAAAGAGCCAGCACAGCUGUCUUGCUACGUGUUCCUGUGCUGGUGAAGGGAAGAGAAAUGGAUCGGACAUCUUCCUGAUCGGUGAAUUGACAUCUCGUGGCUCAUGCUUCCUAGGUGGCUGCCAGCUUGCAACAUCCAUAUCUUCUGGGGGAUGCAGGUACCUUCCAGGCAUGUUUGGGUUACAGCUGAAUUAUGAGGUAAAGUCUUUGCAGUGAUGUACAGAUUAUUUUUUUUAGACUAUCUAGUUCCUCUAGUAAUGCGUUGUCAAGUUUUAAAGCUGAAUGAACUUCAAAUAUCAUCUGUGUUUCCCAGCAUUUUCUGUUUUCUGUUUUAUUUAGCCUGAAUAAAGACAGUGUUGUGUUCCCUUUAGAUUAUGGCCAUGGAAAUGGUUUGUCUCUCAUUAAUUAAAGAGUGAGAUGGAGUGCCCGGUUACUUAGCGCUGCUCCUCUUAACGUUGAAUGUUCGUCCUUUGCCCCCACUUUUUGAUGUAGAUUUUUCUCUAAAGUGUUUUAAAAACGUGUUUCUAAAAGACCUAAUUAGGGUUGAUAUUUCUGUAUCUGGGUUUGUAAUUCAGCUUUUAUAAUAGGACACCAGGGCAUCAGCACUAAAUACAAAGAAAAUUGAGCCUAUACCCAAAGCGGUGUGUGUGGUUUUGAAUAAAAACAAACGCCCUACAACUUCAGGCUGAGUUACCUGUUGGUGCAGUGCUUAUCCCGGGUUCAGUGUGCCCUUUGGAGUGAAGGGGAAAAUGGCAUCUGACUAAUGCAGAAGUAAUUAGUCACUUCGCUUUAUGGUUUGAGGAAAAAUCUGCCUAGGCAAACAUGUCCCAGCUGGGCAGAUAGCUGUGUGGCUGAUUCUGUUUUAGGCCCGAUAAAGCAUUGUUCACACCUGUUUGGAACGUAAUAGGGGAAUAAAUGGGAAACCCGGGCUGCUCGGUGCUGUGCGUUGUGCAGACAGGCCGUGCUCCAACGCAGGGAUUUAUUUCAUGCAUGGUGGCCUAGACAUGAAACAAACGUGUAGAAAAAGGAAUUAUGUAAAAUUGAAAGUGACAAUUAUGCAAACAUUCCGGCUGAGGAAGAAGUAAAUUCUUCUCAUUUUCCAUGUGCUCGACUUCAGCGCUAACGAGCAGCCUGUUGGGGUUUUCAUGUCCGCGUCUGUAUCUGUCAUCUCUCUCAUCUCGUUUUGUGUUUUCUUUUUUGCUGUUGCUUUGACCUUAUUUUCCCUUUUGUUCCAUGGCUCUGUCCCCGUGCUGUUGGCAGGUAGCCUUGUGCAGAGCUGCCCUGUUGGGUGUCUGUGCUGCCUGGGAAUUCCCACCGUGCAAUAGCAGGGAGGCACAGCAGUGGCUGCGAUCUGAUAUCACUGUCUGCCUUUGCUGCAGGGGACGGUCCUUUCCUGCCUGGUCCCGUUGCCUUCUGUGUUCCAGCACCAGUAUUUAGACUGGCACAGGGGGAGAGGAUGAAAGAAACCACUCUACUGUUGUGGCUUGAGCCUCUGCAGUGGGGCUGUGGCCAGGUUCACCCUGUGGUUUGGGUCACCUGGGCGGUGGAUCCACAGACAGGGAUGGACAGUGUAGAAUGGCAAUGAUGCUGCGCCGGUGCUUUCCAUACUGCUUUCAGUUCAGCCUGUGGAGUUGGGCAGAGGGGCCAAAUGUAGGGGCCGAUGGGAAUGGGUUACUAGGAAAGACAAAAGCUCGAAGCAAUUCAAUUGGUCUGGAAACCUGGUUUCCACCUUGCUUUUACUGAUUAAUUUCAAUAUGAUGGGGAUAAAGAGUCUCUUGUUUGUGCUUGGCCAGGUGCUUUAUGUGAAAGAGGUAUCUAACCCUGUUGAUGGCAGAAGGUUAAAAUUAGUUCAGUCUGUACACUUUCACAGCUCAGUUUACACAAGAAUAUUUCUUGUGUAAAUUUCUGGUGCUUGUGCUGUGUGAAGGAGAAGCGCAUUCUGAAUAUUAAAUCCAGAGAGUGGGGGAAGAAGCAGCUCUUCUCUUCAGUGUCGCUUUUCCUUGCUCUAAUCCCGCAGAGGGAUUGAAGAAAGUGUUGGGAGGAUAAGAUCUGUGUUUGAGCCCAGUGAAAAGAUGACUCCGCUGAGGUAAAUGGUUUUAAUAGAGGCUGGUUGUGUGGGGAGGGUGAGAAAAUUGCGCAGGGAUUGUGCAAAUUUCUAAAUAAAAAGCAUUUAAUUGCGUUAACAGAGAGGGAGGAACCCUCUUGUGUGCACAUCAGAAACUUUAGUGAGCGCACAUAACCUCUGUGGCAUGGUAGUCAUUGACCUUGUCAAAUCAUGGCACUGGAGGUCAUGUGUGGCAUAGUGGGUUGCCACAGGGGAUUAGCACAUGUGGGCAGAGGGGUUUUAAAUCAGAGCACACAUGCCAAAUCUCAUCUCCAGCAGCGCAUAUGGAUUCAUCAGAAAACCCAAGGAGAGAAGAUCAGAAGGCACCUGGUGUGGGAGAGAGCCACUGGGGUUGGGCUGCAGCCCCAUGUGCAGGGGAUGGCUGGCCUGGGCCCCAGCUUACUGGUGGGAUGUGCCUGGAGCUUGGCUGUAAGGACCUGUGAGCUGUCCUUGGCAGUCUCAGGUUUUGGUGGUGUGUGCUCACCACUGCCUUUUUUUGCCUCAGUUAAGGAGGGCAGCAAGAAUGUGAAACUAGCAGGUUGAAUACAAAUGGUCUAGAUAUAAAUGAAGAUACAGAUGGGAAUGCCUGAAGCAUAGGGAAGCAAUUCACUGCGAGCAACUGAUCCGUUUUCUCUGUGCCUAGAAAGGAGAACAUCGAAGGCUUGAACUUUCCUGCGUUGUUGAAGUGUUUAAUAGAAAGCUUGUUGGCAUGGCAUCGUUGCAGCCUAAGCAGCCGAGUGUGAGGCUUUGUACAGCCUGCUCUGCGCUGCCCUGGGCUGGUAGGCAGGCAGGCCCACAGCGUGGCUUUCUGUUUAUUAGCUGACAGGCAAUAGCUUACGGCUCAAUCAGGAAUGCAAGUGCUGCCUGUGUGCUUAAAGCAGGUUCUGUGCAGGAUGGAAAAUCAUGUUCUCUGUCAUAUCUGCGCAUGUAAUGUGUAAUCAGAGCUGCCAAGGCCACGCUUCAGUGUUAGAGCUGUGGCCCCCUGCCCCAAGCCGAGUUAUCCUGGUAGCGGAGCAUGGCUGUGCAAUGGCUCAUUGCUGUCCAUACAGGUAAGCCUGGUGCCAUAAGGGAGCUGAGUUAGGUUUCUUUCUGUUCUACAGAACCAAUGAAUAGAGUUGUCUGUUUUUAUUAAAGACUCAGAUUAUGUUGCGUGAAUUGUUUCUCUUCAUAUUACUCUUAUAUUCUUCUAAAAGUCUGCCUUAGUUGAUUUAAUUUCACAUCUCACAAAGAAAGUAUUGAAAAUUGAGUCCUAGCAGUGAAAUGGUUGGAGCUGAGUUAAAGUGGCCUUAAGGCUGAAGCUGGCCAGUCUUUGUGCUUGCCAGCAAGGGAAUCAUUUGUCCCCAGUCUCGAUUGUCUCACAGUGAGGGAAGAUGACUAAUGCUUUGCUCCCGCCUCAGUUAUAAGGACCUGGAUUGAAACUGAUUGGAGCAGUGAGAACACUGAAUCAAAGUUCCUGGAGAGCUGCGGUUCUUCAGAAUGUUUGUGCCAAGAAAACAUUGAAGUUCUGCAAAGUUAUGAUUUUUAGAAGUCAGUGUUUGCGAGAAUAUCAUUGACAAUGUGAUGCUGAGAAUCGGGUGAGAAAGAUCCCCUGUUUGGAGGGGCAGCUGUGUCUCCAAGGGAAGGCACAGAUAGCAGUAGCAAGAGACAAGCUGAGCUUCUCAGUGCUGAUGGCUGUCUGCGCUUUUCAGAGGGUCUGUCAUUUUGUACCAAGAUGUUUGAAACCACCGGGAAUGGGCUGGUGUUCUGUAGCACUGUUGGGAUGCAGGCAGAGUGGCUGUGCUCGUGCUGCUGUGGCUGUGGGGCUCUGAGCGGAGCCUGGCUGCUUCUGCUUCGUUAGGGCAUUCGCUGCUCCAGAUCACAUCCCAAAUAUUAGGCUGGACUUGGGGAAUUAAGUGGUGCAAUUAUGAAGCGGAGGGAAAAACACUUAUGUGGUGGCUGUGAUAGAUUAGUCAUUUUGUACCUCCAAAUAGCCAAUUAUUCCUCUGACUGGCUUUUAUCUGACCAAUUUGCAUGUGCAGUCAUGGUAACUGGUUUGCAGAUUAGGCACAGCGUUUCGAGAAGAUCUGAUGUCGAGUUUCGGUCUGGUCUGCUUGGGAGCAGGAAGCAAAAUAGGUGGAUGAGAGAUUCAGCAUUAAAGAUUACAAUGGGCUGCCUGGUAUUUUUCACUCUCAAAGCCUUUUCACUCUUGCGGGGGACAAGAUGGCUCACUUUAUUGUAGUCUUUUCUUUUUGUAAAUGUGUGGCAGGGCCGUGUGAAGUGGUCCCAGCUCUGUGGAACCUGCAAUGCUGAUUUCAUUUGUAUUGGAGCACUCUGCUGCAUAGCUGGAGAACAUGCUGCUCGAGGGCUGGGAACUCGCUGGAGCGUCAGCGCGUUUCGUAAGAGAUAGGAAGGGAAAAAGAGCUGGAGGAAAGAAGGAAAAAUAAACCCAAGCAGCAUGGAGUGACCGAGGGUGAAGUCCUGCCUCCUUGAAGUCGGUGUCAUAACUGCCUUCGCUGGCGCCGAGUUUCCCUGUCCUGCCUGAUUUUGAUCUUGGCUACGUGGGUGUGCUGCAAAUUAACAAAGUGGUUAUUUGAUUUAAUACCGUACACCUAGAGAGCUAAGUGAAAUCUUAAUUUGAACAAUAUUAAUAAUUCAGAUAGCUGUAUUUUGCUAUUAGGUUAAAUAUAAGCUCUGUUUGUGUCUGGGAUUUGUGUCAAUUUAGCAUGCUGUGGACUUUGCAGAAUCUCUGAUAUAAAUGCUCUUUGAAGUGGAGAAAUGGUCUACAAUAUUUUCCAACAGUCAGCUAGCUUUUUAAAGCUCCAUUUGCUUCAAAUCAGCGAGCCUUUUUAAAAACAAACAAAUAAAAGGCAGUUUGCAAGUGCAAGAAUAACAAGAUACUCUUUAAAAAAGCCAUUUUUUUCAUAUGGGCUCCAGCUACUCAGCUGUAGUUACCUCGGUCUCCAGUGCUGCUAAAGACAAAUUAAGCUAAUAAAACAGUAUCUUGCAACAUUGUAGCAAAUAAAUUAUUUAAUGCGUAUGCAAGUAGUUUGCUAUGCCAAAUUUAAACUCUUUAAGCCUUUGCUCUUUGGAUGAGUAGAAGAGGCUAUUAGAAAUGUAACCCCGUUAAGGGUUUGCGAAACAAUGCCUCGCCCAGCCUGUAGCAGCUUUUGGUGUGUUCAGGGAAUACAGAUGAUAAGUUGAGGUGUACUUUUAAGGAAAUCAUAUCUUUAUUUUCUUGUAAGUGGCAACGUGGUCCUAGACCAAUAACAAACCCGUGCAUUAGAAGGCAGGUUCUGGGGAGGCUGCUGUAUCCACCUGUCUGCAUGGCCUGACCAGCCUUGGCAGGGAGCUGAAGGCGUUCCUUGGUUUGCAUCAUAUUCUGGCUGUAAUGGUGUAUGUGCGUGCAAGUACAUGCAUGAGCAUAUGUAUUUCCUCUCUGCCGUGUACAUAAAACAACUGGACUUCUCUUAGAUUUUUGUGCAAACUCGUUUGUUCCUUUGCCUGUUCUUUUGGGACUGACCCCUGGUCACACCAUAUGGUUUUCAAACAGAGCACCUGUGAAGUCUCCUGGUUUUGUGUAAAACAUACUGUAUGAACAGUUACAGGUGCACAAGCACCUCAUUUUAAGUUAUCUGAGCUGUUCUAGCUUGUAAGGCUUUUUAUGUUUUGAAUGCAGGAAUCAGCAUGCGAGGAGUUUUAUUAAAACUGGCUGUCAAGCUUCAUUUCAGCAUGUUUUUCUUCCAGCGGCUGCUGAGGAGCCCCUCCGAAGCAGUUUCAGCACAGCUUGGGGGACUGGAAAAAUCAGAGUUGAAAAUGGGGCAGGUCACGCUUUUUCCAACCCCCCCCCCCCCUCCUUCUCUAGAGAAGUUAUAUAAUCUCUGUUUCUUCUGUAAAACAAGGAUAACUUAUCUCAUGGCACUUCUACUGCUGAGUAGUUGUAAGUCCUGCAUGCAGGAUCUUUUUUGAUAGGAAGUACAUUAAGAUUAAAGUACAUGGUGUUUUGUUCUGAGGAGUUUGAGGAUGAAAUUUAUAGGCAACCGUAAGCUGUGUGUUUGUUUAUGAUAAAAUUGGGAGAUGGAGUAUAAAGGAACAGACACUGGUACUGGCCGUGUAACUUGCAGCUUUACAUUACAAACAGGCUCUUGUUUGUGGUGAUAAAGGCAAGAAAUCCAGUGUAUUCUGCUAGCUACAAAUAGCUACAAGGGGUAGAGCUUUUCACUCUUCAGAAUGAGCUUUUUCUCAUUCUCAAAUCAAUCUCUCAGCUGUUCCUUUUAAGAGGGUCUUCUCUCCACCUGUUUAGUAACUGUGAAUUUUUGUUGCUGUAAGAGUAAACAAACAUCUUUUGCUGCUAAACAUCAAUGCUGUCACCGUUCUCUCCUCCCCCACUUUCUUCUGUAUUCUUAGGAUUUAGCUAGCAGAACUGCUUCCUCCUUGCCCUCCCCAAUCCUUUAGCUGAAUCAGUAAGACGGUGCAGACAGCAGGCAAUAGGUUGCUCAUGAUUAUUGCUUUCCCUGCUAACCUUUCUUUCUUCUGUUUGGUUCUGUGAAAUCCUGUUGAAUUCCUCCAGCCUACCUGGUUUGGGCACUGCUGCAGCGCUGGGAAUCCCCACAGCGUGAGAGCUCUGCCCAGAGCAGAUUCCUAUCAGAGUGUGCUGCCCUUGGGAUUUCUGCAAAUCGCAUGCCGGAGGGCUGCCAAGUAACACUGCUCUGCAGGCACAGGAGUCGUCAUCUCUGCCCUGCAGCUCUUCUGGCUAUUGUGUAAAUACUGGAGGAUUUGGGGGGAUGAGCUUUGUGUGGAUGCUGAAGAAUUUUGGAAAGGAAAGGUGGGUUGGUGGCCUUGGAGUGUGGUUUUGUAACUGUGAGAGAUGUCUCCUCUCUAAUGGGUCUGCUGCCUUAUAGCUUCUGGUGACAAGAUUCAGAAUUUAUUUUUAAUCUUGAGAAGAAAAAUGGAAUGCUGAAGGCAGCCCUUCUUCCAGGCUGUUCUUGAGUGUUUCUGGACAUUCAUUUAUGGGCUGUUUGUUUCUGCACCCCUGCCACAGAAGCAGCUCAUCAGCUUUGUUGUGCUAUGAGUUGUUCCUUUCUGGUUUUGAGUCAAAGUGGGGAAAGUGCAGUUACAGUGCAGUGCUGUUCUCUUUCCCAUGGGCUGCAUAACCUCCGGUACCUGCUGACCACUUGGUCACUGCUGAAAGAGCAUCCUGCCAUGGGAAAAAUGUCUACUGGGACUUUAUUCCUGCUGUUUAGCCAAAGUCUUUUCAAUAAAAGUCCAUGCCAAGCAGGUGGGUGUACAGCAUGGGGGUGGGCAGUGGUGGUGGGUAACGCGGUCAGUGUGUACACCAUUGGUUGUGUUGCUGGUUUGCUUCGUCUGCCUCGUCACGUUCAGCCUGCGUUCCCUGUGCAUCGUAGCUGGGGGAAUGGCAGGGAGUUGCACAAAGCCGCCUUUCUUGUCAUAUCUGCUCAAAUCUCACGUGACAGUUGGACAGAAGCAGUUUUCACUGCUUGCAGUGAGGGAGAGGUGGAAUGGAUGGUGGAUUUAAAGAAAACUGUAUAUACUUUUCUUCCUAUAUGCAGGCAGCUUGUGUUUGUGGUGGUGGUGUGGGCAAGGAAGCACCUUGUUAUGCAAUCUGUGUGGGCUCUGUAGUGGGCAGAGCUUCCUCCCAGGUAUGGGUUUCUCCCCUGGCACUGCAAGCUGGGGUGCCUGGCAGCUCUUGCUUACACACACCUAAGUGUCUGAUAAAAAUGCAUUGAAGUUAUACUGAUAUUCUUCACCACCAUGGCUUCACUGGGCUAGGGAGGAAGUGAGACCCUGACAGAAGCGUAUCAGCAAUGACCUUGUGAAGCCCUGGGGAAAAAAUAAUUUGCCAAAGAGUGUGCAGUUACUUGUUAGGAUUACUGUCACCCUCCAAUCCUUCUCUUCAUAUCUUUUUCCUGUUGCCUUUGCACCCAUCAGCGAAUAUUUCUUUUUCUGCUGGCUGUAGGCACGUGAUGCUUUCUCAUCCAUUCUCUCUCAAUCUAGUUCUCACUGCUGGUCAUUUAAAGGCUUCCUUUGCAGGAAGGAGCACUGAGUAUUUGAUACACAGGCAUAUGUGAGAGAGCAGUGGAAUGGGAUUUGUAUAUUGCUGUGUUUUGAAAAAUGGUGAUCUUUCACCUGAUGAAUUGCUCUCUCAAACUUGAAUCUGGCAAUCCCCCUAAAUUGGACUUGGCUUUCUCUGGGAACUAUAAAAGCAGCAAAUUUCCAAAACCUUUUGCUAAUGGAUUACUGAGUGAAGAUCAAUAGAGAUGCUGAGAGAGGAGCCAGACCUGGAAAAAGAACAUAGAAUGCAAGCUGCCUGAUUAAUUUGCUCUAGAGAAUAAAAGCCUUCAGAGAUGAGAACAGGGUAUAAAACAAGCAGCUAUAGACUUCCUAUCUGCUGAGUAGAAAAUGUUAACUUCUCAGAUCUGGUAAAGAUUCCCAGCAUCGGUUUUGUAACGACAUACUGUAGCGUAAGGGGGAACAUUCAGUGCCUGCCUGGUCUCUGCCUGGCAAAGGAACCUCUGUGCUGUGUGUUGGGUGAGUGCUGGCAGGGGACGUGCUGGCUUCCAAACUGGAGAAUGUAUCUGCUUCUCAUCUUCCACUUAAGUCCACUGAGCUUCUCAAUUUCCUGUCUUUACUUGUAAGUGGCAGCAGCAAGCUUGCUUUCUUCUCUUACUUCAGAUGAUUCAGUCUGUAUUAAACAAAACAAAAAAACAAAAACAAACAAACAAAAAAAACCUAUUUCCUAAUGAACAGUCAUUUCUGCUCUCUGCAAGUCAUGGUUAACCCUCUCUGUAGGGCAUCCACCACACCUGGGAUGGAAUUUGUGGGCUACUGGCUGGUCUUGAAGCUGAAAAUGGAUGGUGAGCAAAGGAUCAAGUAGAAGUGCAUGCUUGCUGCUCAGAUGUUCUUAAUUCAGUGGAUUGUUGAGUCACAGCCUGAAGCACUGAUGGAGCACCUGGUGGGAAGGCAGGGCCAACACAGGGGAGCUCAGGUGCAUGCAAUGUACCUCAGUGAUUGGAAGGGGUGGAGCCAGGAUCCAGCCCUUCCUAGACCUCAUUUAAGGUGGCAGUGGAGGUGAGGGGAUCUCACUGGAGAUCCCUGCGUGCCUGAGGCCUUCUGGAGGUAAGCAGCUUCUUUCCUUUAUUUCUGUUCCUACAGCUGUUGUGUUUGAGCAAACCCUCACCUGCUGCAGGCUGGGACCGUGCUGUUAUUUGCUCCACUUUCUGUUGUGCUUUACCAAGCCAAGUGGCUUGUGUUUGUGGUGUUAUUUCAAUUCUGUUGCUGUUUUUUUUUUUUUUUUUGUGAUGGCAUAUAUUAGAGAAAGGUCAGUUUUCCAAGGGAAUAGGACUUCUAAGGCUGUUUUCUUGGAUGCUCCUCAGACUGUUGCAAAUGGGGCAGGAAUUUUCCCAAGUGGGUUUUGGCCAAGAGACUGAUGUUAAUGUCUUCUAUUGCUCAGAAAGAAGUAGAGCAGUAAGAGAGAAGGUUUCAUAGUCAAGACUGUCCAGAACUUCCAGUUUAUGUCCUGAUGGUACUUCUCCAGCAGCAAAGGUGCCUGGUAGACCCUGUGUUUCCACUGAGAAGGGAAAAUGUUAUUCUAAAAUCUUGUUUGCAUGUUGGUUCUCGAGCUUCUUAACAUGCAUGGUUUAUUUUUAGAGAAAACAAUGUCAGCCAGAUUUGUACUAAUUGUUGGCAACAGUGUGUUAGUCCCUCAAAUGCUGACAGGGAGACAAUGUUUGGUGAUUGCAGUCGUGCAAAGCUAAAAACGACUUCAAUUAAACAAUCAUGAAAUAUACUUUGCAGUGAAGGAGCUGAACAGCAGGGUUUUUGGUUUGGAGUUUUGUUUGUAUGUUUUGGGGUUUUUGACUCAGCUGAUUGCAGGUGUUGUGUGACAAAUUGGGUAUACUUGUGUUCUGCCUUGAAUUAUUGCUGGUUUUAUAAAAUAACAAAACCAAAAGCUAUCAUCCUCCUUAAAAGGAAUUUGUGAGAAGUUCCUCUCCUUUCCACCACCCCCAUCCUAGCACUGUAGCAGCACUGUUUCAGCAGCACUUAUGGUUUUUCUUUUGUUUUUAAGUUUACUAUAGCAGAGGUUUUUGUGGUGUUCUGGGGUUGCAUUUUUACAAUGUUGUUUAACUGUUCCGAGGCCUCUGUUCAGCCCUGCUGUUCCCUGUGGUGUGCACCCCAGGGCUGACGGGGGGGGGGGAGGGGGGGCUGCCUUCCUGCUGUGAGCUGGGCCUGUGGCUUCAGCAGUCCUCGUGUUAUUUCCUAGCUUGUAGGAAGGAGAAAACAAAACUUGGCAUUGGGAUUUCCUUACAAUGGAAGAUCUGGGGACAGAGGUGCUUGGUGCCAGCUGCUUUGUGCAGCCCCUGGAGAGCAGAGGGUGGCUCUCUGCAGCCCUCAGCGCAAGGCAUGGCUGGCCAGGCUGGCUGCCCACAGGCUGCUAAGGCAUUCUGAGGGUGCAGUCUAGUAAGCGUACUGUCGAGCAGUACAUCUGUGACAUCAGGCUCUGCAGGCUGUGCUUGUGAUGGCCUGGGG